rnacentral:rRNA from 1 species
GAGGAGCUGUCCUUAGUACGAGAGGACCGGGAUGGACGUACCGCUGGUGCACCAGUUGUUCCGCCAGGAGCAUGGCUGGGUAGCUACGUACGGACGGGAUAAGCGCUGAAAGCAUCUAAGCGUGAAGCCCCCCUCAAGAUGAGAUUUCCCAAUUAGUAAGACCCCUUGAAGACGACGAGGUAGAUAGGUUGGAGGUGGAAGUGCAGCAAUGCAUGGAGCUGACCAAUACUAAUCGGUCGAGGGCUUAUCCAA